CCUACGGGUUGCAGCAGUGGGGAAUAUUGCACAAUGGGCGCAAGCCUGAUGCAGCCAUGCCGCGUGUGUGAAGAAGGCCUUCGGGUUGUAAAGUACUUUCAGCGAGGAGGAAGGCAUUAAGGUUAAUAACCUUGGUGAUUGACGUUACCCGCAGAAGAAGCACCGGCUAACUCCGUGCCAGCAGCCGCGGUAAUACGGAGGGUGCAAGCGUUAAUCGGAAUUACUGGGCGUAAAGCGCACGCAGGCGGUUUGUUAAGUCAGAUGUGAAAUCCCCGGGCUCAACCUGGGAACUGCAUCUGAUACUGGCAAGCUUGAGUCUCGUAGAGGGGGGUAGAAUUCCAGGUGUAGCGGUGAAAUGCGUAGAGAUCUGGAGGAAUACCGGUGGCGAAGGCGGCCCCCUGGACGAAGACUGACGCUCAGGUGCGAAAGCGUGGGGAGCAAACAGGAUUAGAUACCCCGGUAGUC
rnacentral:rRNA from 1 species